UCGCUGCGGACUCGGUAAGUAUCUAAUCUCAAAUCAUUGAUACAAUCCGGUUAAUGUCGCUUUCCACACGCAUAAAUCUCUUUCCAUUGUUUCAUGCAUCCGGAGCGGAGUCCUCUACUAUACACGCUGCUCGUUCUCCUUGCUCAUCAAGCAUCUCCACCAUUGCACUGAUGUCACGAAGAUCACCCUACAGGGUACAACUCAAGCAAAGAGAUAUUUCUCGUGUGGCUGAAGUCGGUACUCUACGCACCCAGCACAGCUGUCAACCUUGCAUCAUAUAUUACACUACUUAUUAUACAUAUACAACAGUGGGCAGGGGGGUCUGCGGCCAGCCAGGUAUACCACCUACCUGACUGCAAGUCUUUCCCCUUACCGAAGGAACACUACGACCCGUUCCUCCCCAGCCAGAACCCCCCGACGCUGAACAUCAUGCACAUGGAACUAUAAGUAUCAGUUCACUUGGAUUCAUUGCCUUGGAAGGCAACAUCGCACAAUUAACCAUCUCACAAGCAGUCCGGCUUACAUAGGAGUACCGACAAUGCAAGCAAGAUUUUCCUCGGCACUCCUGCAAAGAAAUUGGCAUUUGUAUCACCGCACCUGCGUUCUGCCACACAAAUUUGAACACUAGAAUUAAUGCGCAAAGAUCUUACUCAUUGGCAACACAAUAUUAUGGAAACUAGCUUAUUGCCGAUCAUCAAUUGUCGGGGGGAAUGGGGGCCGCGGCAGCCAGGCAGACCACCCGCCUGGCUGAAGAUUUACCCCAUCAUGGAGGAACACUGCCACACGUUCCUCCGCAUAGUUUACCGCAUCGUCUCGAAUACGCAGAAACAUCAUCGACUGCGACUAGAAGAGGGGCAGCAACUGUAGCAGCUUCAGUAUCCAGCGAUCGCUGGCUACCAAGAGGGUCUGGCGAAGACGGUGAGCAGUCACAAGUUGUUGCUUGAGGAGCAUUUCACAGAAGGAUUAUUCUCACCACAAUUAGUCUGAAGGCAGCGAUCGGUGAAUGUGCAACGUAAACAAAGACAUCAGAGCUGCGGUGCAGAGACCGUUUGGAAGAGAGACAGAAUCGAAGAAAACGAUCUUCGGCGGGCUUACAUUGUAGAUUUAAGGCGCCCCUUUGUAAAACGCCUAAUGUAAUAUAAGUGCUGAAAUCUAGCACUGACAACACUAAUAUUACAUGCGUUGAGUUAGUAUUAAGGUAUUUUUGUAUUAUUCGCCGUAAGAUAAGCAUAUUUAUUCCGAGUUGUAAGUCUCUUGUUGGCCGUUCAUUUAUUUUUUACAAUUUUUAUCGGAUUCGUCUAUACACACUUAUGACAUUUGACGUUAACGUAAACAUGAAAGAUCGUGUAUGACUUGCUUAAUUCUGUGUUGUUCGAUACCAAUAUGUUUUAUAAUAGUUUAUUCUUCAUAUUUCCCUUCAGCAGCUUACUAAUAUUGUUUUCAGCGCCCGUUUCUACUAUCCAAACUACGUGUUCGGCGAUCGCAAUCGGUUGACCAAUCAGCUGUGCGCGGUCCCAAAUCUAACCAAAAUCUACGUCUGCAGCGUAAUUAGGAAAGUUCAGCUCAGACCUUAAUGGUACCUCACCCCCACUCUCAGCAACGGCUCUUAACAACUAGGGCAGAAUUUCGAGCAUUCACCCCUCAUGCGGUGGAGCCGAAGAAUAGUUGUAAUUAUAUCAAUAUCUACAAGCGCGCACGCAUCUCUCCGGGGUACGGUGAGUAUAGCUUAAAGAAUGUUGCUUACACAUAGAGGAAAUAUAUGUCUCUAUGUAUAACAAAAACACAACAUUGUUUAUCUUACUCAGCAAAAUCCUAUAAUGUAUUUUGGAUUUUGUAAUAAGCCAUAAUUGUUGUUUUUUUUUUUUAACUUAAAAUAUCGAAACCAUAAUGAUGUAUAUUCAAUGUAUUGAUGUAUAUUCAUAAUUACCGAUAUACCCUUAAAUUGCAAUAUUAAUAAGUAUAUAUUAUUCUCAGUAUAUUUUACAAUAUUUCUUUAUAUUUCUCUUUUGGUGAACCGGCGAUAGUCUCUAUAACUUCAUGACAAAAUUAAUAAUGAAUAUUUAAUUAGAGGAGAAAACCGAAAACAUGUACAAGCAUGUUCGAGUUAUAUUCUCCCGAUAUUUUGGUUGUAAACACUAUCGAGUAACUCCAGCGAUAGGGGGAGGCUCAUUGAUCUAUGACAAAUACGAUUGGCCGCGAUUUAGAAUCUUGUGACCGGAUUUCAACAGUGCAUGCCCACUAAUCUUUUUUGUUUUCUUUUCCAUAUCGAUAUUUGUGUAUAUGUGUACUUUCGUUUAUUUUUUAUCUGUGGUGCUUUAUAACUGGCUUAUCUAGUUGUAAACGGCCCUAUCCUUGAGGUUCAAAAGCCUCCUUACUUCAUUAUUUUGUCUCCCGCUUUGCUAUGGAGGGAAGUGGACAAUUAUUAUUUCCAACUCCUCCCUAUCUUUUUAUUGGUUGAUUUCAUUGUGGGAUAAUGAUAAAUUAGGUGAGACUCGCCGAGCUUCAUUGCUCGGUGUCAUAAAAUUCGUGCCACUGCUGAUGCUAGCUUACAGGAGUUAUAGUGGUUGGUGUAUGGGCGGGAAUGUCUCUAAAAGUCUCUACUCAAGUGUGGAGGUCAGUUAUUAGUAAUUUGAUUAUACACUAUUGAAACCUAAAUGAAUAUUAUUAGUGUAUAACAAAAACUAUUUUUUUUUUAUAACUGGCAAUAAAAAUUGACAUUGCGGUGGUUCCUACCCCAACGGCCUGUCGCAUUCGACCGACCAUCACUAAGAUUCAGUAGGUUUUCCACCACUCAUGAACUUUCAUAAGUCUAGAAGAAUCAUGAUUGCAUUGCCAACGUAGAUAGAGUAGGUAUUGUGUAAGGGGUGACGGGCGAGGGAUGAGGUGUAAGACCUAUCUCUCUACGAAACGCAACAUUAAAGAGGCUUUUAAAGUCAGUUUUCUGUAUAAUAUAAUGGUAUCUUUCCAUUUAAACCAGGUCAGAUAGAACGUAGACUUUGUCUACGUCGGGGCGUUAAUUCUUAGUUUAUACAAACCGACAUUGAUGUGAAUUUCAGAAACUUGUUUUGUAAAUAUUAAAUCAACAUAAAAGCUGGUGAGUUACCGACAUGUCCUAGAUAAAUUGGUCUACAGAAUAAGUGGAUCGGUCUUAUUUAAGCAAUGUGGCAAGAAUCUGUCCCACUGGUGGGCACAGGGCUCGUCUUCUACUGAGAAAUAAAACUCCCUUCAUUAGACGAUUUUAUAGCAAACGAUAAUUCAUAAAGGAUACACACAUAAUUUUAGAAUAAUCGGAGGCGAUUUGAACCUGCGGACAUACGUCUUAGCGGGCUACUUCACACCUCACUACGCUAUCGCCGCUGUGGGUAUAAUAGUAUAAAUAUAAUGUAAAAAUGAUAGUAUCUCUAAUAAAUAAAUUUUGGUUGCGAUUCAAUAUCUUGUAAAAGAAUUUCGAGGUCAAAAAUGGCAUGUAUUGAUAAAUUUUAGCUUUACCGGAUGAGCGAUCCGCGGGAUCGGCCGGCGAACGCUAGAAAAAUUAUUCAAGAGUAAAACUGAAAUGGCGAUAGGCCCCUCAUAUGUGAGAGACCGCCCGGGUAGGUACUUCCGCAAUGUCUAUUUCUGCCGCCAAGCAGCAGUUUGUAUUCACUGUUGUGUUCCUGUUUGAAGAACAUUGUAGCCAGUGUAACUACUGAACAUUAAUAUGGCUAGAGUACAAUACUUUGUAAUUCAAAGUAUUGUAUGGUGUUCCUACUGUUUAUGGGCGGUCGUAUCGCUUACUAUCAAGCGAACGACAGAAGCAUAAAAAAUAAUCCUUUCCGUACAUGUUUAGGUUAGAAUUUAUUGUUUAAGUUUUGUAGGAAAAAUGUUCUUCCGCAAAACUUGAGAAUGAUGAAUUUAUAAUUAGAGACCAAAAUUUUACCCCUACUUUAUUGCAACCACUUUUGAUGUCAAAAUAGUGUUACAAGAUUCUAAAUUAUAACGUAAAUUUAUAAUUUUAUUUAAAGUAUUUUCCCUGCAGUCACAUUUUAAAUGAUGUGUGCUAUAUUCCUUUUAGUUACAAGAAUACUUAUUUCUAAACAUAUUUUAUAGUGUGUUAAUAUGAUAAUGUUGUUUGAUGAAUGUUGUGGACUUGUAAUAAUUAAGAUUAGCCAUUAUUUCGUUGCUUACAACUUACAACUUUCUUACAUGUUGUGCUAAAACUUACUUAUUGCCUUUUAUAUUACAGCUUGCGGUUGGAAAGUUAUUUUGUGUUUUAUACUUCCACAACUGGUUUUAUAAUAAUAUUCUUUUUCCGUGUCCUUUUUUUUUAUAUGGAAUACGAUGUGUGUUCCUUUGUAUUAUAGAAUUACUUUAUUUAUAAGAAAUUUGUAAUACACUUAUCAUUUUUUGACAUAAUCCGUUCUGCUGAGGGGGUGAGGAAGGGAUCAUAUCGAACAACUCAGAGUAUUUGCCAUGAUAGUCAUGUCGCUAACGGUUCAAAAAUUACGAAUCGAAGAUAUGGCAAAGCAAUAGAUUCCUAGAAAGGUCCAAAGUUUAUAUCUGCAGUUAGGCAUUUGGAAUAAUAAUUUCAAAUUCACUAAAGACUCAAACGUUCAACCGCAGUCCUACUUCCAAUAAGGUAAGAUGUUUUUCCACAUGAUUCUGUUAUUUUUUAGGUUAUUAUGUUACAAGUACAUACUUACUUAAUAAAUAUUUAUAGUAUACGUUAUGUCCUAAGAUAAGUAUGGCACUGUAUCUUCUACCGACCGUUUUCACACUGUAACAUUUUAAUCCGAACCUACUCAAAAAUGUACAAGCCUUACGAAUCAAAAUUAUACACGAUCGAAAUUGUGUCAUAAUUCGAUGAAGAUUUGUUGGGCACUCCAAUGAUCGCAAAAUUGACCUGUAAAAUGAUAUUUAUCUGCUUUUAUCGUUGCAUGAGGAAUUAAUUCGUGUAAGGAUAGAUUCUUAAGGCUUUUUGUCCGUACGACGGUCGUAACGUGUAUAACCUGUGAGCCCUGGGAAAAGAUAUUAUGAAUAAGUUAUAGUAUUUUUGGAUUUAUAAGUAGUUACAUACUAAAAGUAAGAUUAGUAAGAUAAGACUAAGAAGUAAGAUUGACUGAAGUGUUUUGGUUAAAUUUUUACCCCCUUAUUCAUAGACGUUUUUAUCUGAGGACGGAGUAACGCUGUGAUAAUAAGUUUGUUUCUCAGUGCUGACGGCAUGGGAGCCUUUAGUG